rnacentral:rRNA from 1 species
GGGUGUGAUCAUACCAGUGUUAAUGCACCGGAUCCCAUCAAAACUCCGAAAUUAAGUGCGCCUGGGCUAGAGUAAUACUGGGAUGGGUGACCUCCCAGUAAGUCCUAGUGUUGCACCCU